rnacentral:rRNA from 1 species
GCUAACUCCGUGCCAGCAGCCGCGGUAAUACGGAGGGUGCGAGCGUUAAUCGGAAUUACUGGGCGUAAAGCGCACGUAGGCGGUUUGUUAAGCUAGAUGUGAAAGCCCCGGGCUUAACCUGGGAAUAGCAUUUAGAACUGGCAGGCUAGAGUUUUGAAGAGGGUGGUAGAAUUUCCUGUGUAGCGGUGAAAUGCGUAGAUAUAGGAAGGAAUAUCAGUGGCGAAGGCGGCCACCUGGUCAAAAACUGACGCUGAGGAGCGAAAGCGUGGGGAGCAAACAGGAUUAGAUACCCUUGUAGUC